rnacentral:rRNA from 11 species
GCAUGAAGCCUAAAUAUCCUAAAGGUACCAAAUCUCAUCUGAUCUUUGACACUAAGCAGGAUCAGCCCUGGUUUGUACUUGGAGGAGUAUCACCAACAAAUACAAGACUCUAGAGGCU